rnacentral:lncRNA from 1 species
GCCGUAAAAGAUAUGCACAAAUGUCGCCUCAAAGAAAAUAAUCUUCUUUUUUCAAAACUAAGAGAGGAAAGGGAUGAAUCAAAAAGACAAAAUCUCCAUCAUUCAAAUAUUAUGAUCUCACCUCUGCAAAUUGAUGGUCGGCCUCCACAGAGAAAAGCUCUUACAAUUAGUACUCCUUUAUUGUCUCCUAAAGAAGGUAAAGCUAAUCAAAUUGUUAUCUUUAUUCUCUGAAGUAUGUUGAUAUAAAUUAAUUAAAGUUAUAUAUACAUAUGAUGUCUUCUGAAUAUAUAUAUAUAAAGGUAUAAAUAGAUGCUUAAAUUGACAUGGGGAUUAUCCAUUUGCUAGGUUGCAUAUCUGAAACUAUAAAGAUGCCAAUUACCUUAGGCAAAGUAGAAUAUAUAAUUGAUUGCUUCACUAUCUUUGAACGAGAUGAGUGAAAAAAAUUACUUAUGUAUUCCAAAUAUAAUGAUUUCAAUAAAUGGAUAUUCAUAUCUAAAUAUUCACUUUCCUAAUAACAAGAUCAACAUCAGGCACAGGUGCAGCCGAAAAUAAUUUAUGUUUAGUUGGUACCGCAAUGAGAGGUAUCGAUCUAUCUUCAACUAAAAUAAUGAAAUGUAUAUUACUACCUCUUUAUAUAAAAUAGUUGUUAUUUAUUAUACAUAGGUAGAAAUAAGUUAGAAGUUAUUCUACAAAAUGAUAAUUUAUUGCUAAAAGAUUAUGUACACUUAAAGAAAGUUCAGAACUGUAAAAUUGAAUUCCAAUAAUAUGCACAUUGAGCUACAAAAUUUAAUUUUAGGGGAAACUGAAAAAUGUCAAUAUUUUUGCACUUACAGUAGAGCCUACGAUAAUAUGUUUUUAUUUACUUCACUUUGAACACAUUAUGAUAGACAAUUAGUACAGAAAAAUCAUGGCAUCUACAGAUUUAAAGUUCAGGAACAAUUGUAUUACUUCAUUGAAAAUUCGAUACCUUCAGGAACGAAAGGGAAAAAUUUAUAAUUAUAUUUCUAUGAUAAUCAAAAUGAGUUAACAAACUGAAUGACAUUAUCAGAUAUACUUAAUGAAGUAGUUGUCAAGAAACUAUAAUACCUCAAGUUUUUGGAUACUGAAAAAUUUGUUAUUUUACGAUCACUGCCCAGGUAACGACUCAGCUGACGAGUCAUACCACUCGUCACUAUUCAUAGGGCCCCUUUCAUUGUCUAACCAGUGAGGUUGCCUUAGGAUUCUGUCUUGAUCACGACUAAGACCCCACAAGUCAUAGGGUAAGGUCACGAGUUAUGGUGAGGGACUUGCGACCAUAACAGUGUGGUGCUCGGAGUGUGUUGCUCAGUCUACGAGUUAAGGUGAUGACUCAUGAUCGGUCACCACAAUUCGUUACCUAACCCGUAGCGACUUAGAGCAAUUUUCCUGCAUGUUUUUCAUUAAGGGUAAUUGGAUCUUUUCCCUUAUUUACUCUUAACCCACGACCUUAAAACAGCUAAGGGGUCUUUUUUUCAUUAUUUAAAAAAUCAAAAUACAUAUUCUCUCCUCUCAAACUUACAAGAGAGAAAAGUUAGGGUUUCAUGGGCUUGAUUGUCUAAGCUCAAGUUGUGGUUUCUCUUCCAGAUUCCUUGGUAUUUCAGGCAUGUAUUGCUACCGUAAAUUUAUUUUAUAAUAAAAGAAUGCAUUUAGUUAUUAUCCAUGUGGUGUAGUUAUUGGAUUUUGAAUGUGGGUUGAGGGAUUUAUAAUAGUUGUUACAUGAUUUGAUUUCUCAUAGUUUUGAAUUGGUUGUUCAUACUUUAUUUUAUGGUUUUGAACUGAAUAAACAUAUGGGUAUGGGAAUUGAAAUGGGAAAAUGGGUUUCCCCAAAUUUUAUGGUUUAAUGGUUUGAAACUAGCUUUAACCUCAACCCAACUUGUUUAAUUAGUUUAGAAAAUAUGGAUACAUGCACAAUUUCACUUACUCUUGGAACCUUGUAUUGCAUAAAAGGUUAAUGGAACAUAAAAUAAUUUUGAAAGGCCUUAGUGUACAUUAUUUUAGAUUAGAAUUGAUUGGAAGGCCUUGGUGGCUAUGGAUGAUUUUAAACUUGAACUUGGGAGUCAAUUUGGCUAAACGGUUUUGGAAUGACAUAAUUGGAAUUGGCUUGUAAGCUCUUUUGUUUCGUAUGACGAUACCAAUGGUAACUUCAUAAUUAAAAGACUACUUAUUUAACAGAUAAUUUGGACUUAAAGGGGGUUGUGUAGCUCACUAUGAAAGGUGGAGGUCCUGGGAAGACCAACACUAACAAUCAUGUUUACUGACAUGGCGGUCUUGGUGAUCGUGUGCAUAGUUCACACUUCAUAUAUAGUAUAUGUAUAUAUGUAUAUAUAUAUAUAUAUAUUCAGAUAGUUGGGGUCAUUGUUUCUAUGGCCCUUUCUCGUAUUUCUCUGAUUCGUGUGGCUAACAUGCAUUGGGGCCCUUUCAGCAGGGGAGAUAAACCCAUAGAGAUGGUGGGUGCCUUUAGGAUAGAAAGAUCUACACAGUCAAGGUUAAUGGUUUAAAUCUUAUGUUUUAACCCUAUAUAUUAUCCUGAUAUUAUAUUUAUAUAUAUGUGUAUGUGUGUGUGUGUGAACGUGUAUAUAGAGUUUUGGAUUAUUUUAAAAUAGCAUUAUUUUAUUUCUUACCCCAGUUACAUACUAGUGCUUAUCCCACUAACCAUCCCCAGAUGUUGCAUCAUUUCAUGAUGUAGGGUCCUAGAGGUUCUUCAGUUGUUUUGUGCAAUGUUAGGCAUUUUGCUGUGUUGGUCGAUCCAGUUGAAGUGGUGAGCCUCCAUUUUUAGGAAGGCCUAUUACUUCUUGGUUUCAUUAUGUUUCCUUAGACUACCACUUUUGGAUUCCUUUUUAGCUAUAGUCGGGGAGGGGGGGCAUAUCCUGACCUAAUAUGCUAUUCGAUUUUGUUAGAGGCCUUAUGGAUAAAUUAUUAGUUGGUCGCUAUUUUAAAAUAUUAGUUCUAUUUGAGUUACAUUAAUUAUCUUAUCUUUAUACUCUGAUUGUUUUCUGUUAUAUUAUGCUCGGAUGGUUAGGCCAUAGGGGUGGUCUUCGAUCCAUAGUAGGCUUCAGUUACCUGUCACGACUAGGCCUGGUUUGGAUUGUGAAAAUAUUAGUAUCAGGGAGUAGGUUUAAGGUCCUUGAGUUUUCACAAAGCCGUGUUGAUUAAAGUUUCUCUUAUUGAUGUGUAGUGCACCAUACUUAUAAGGGAGAGGCUACAAGGCAUUUAGGAAUAUUUUUCUUUCUUGUGUUCUAUUUUGGGCUGUAGAGUCUGGUGUUAAGAAAUUUCUUCACUCUUUAUUUGAUCACAUUUCAAAUCAUGCUUCCUCGAAGAUUUGGUACUCUUUCAGGCCCUCUGUCUUACUCGACCUACUUAUGGAGUGUAGACUCAAUCCAGGGUCCCUGCUCCUUAUUGUACUUCCCUAUGUGGAGUUCUACCAAUUCCUACUAGUCCUCCUCGAUAUUCCCAACCUGAUGAUGCUCAUACCCUGAUGCCUCAUGGUGACAUUUCUAAUGCAAAAUUCCAAUAGUCUAUUUAUUUGCUUACUCAAUUGGUGACAUCUCAGUCUCGUUAGUCAGAUCAUAUUAGUUUUAUUGCUUUUUCUUUUGUGGUCACUCGGGUUAGCCAUUUUAUGAGGUUGAAUCCCCUAACCUUUAUAGGAUGUAAGGUUAAGGAGGACCCUUAAAGAUAUUAAUAAGAUGGAGAGGAUUUUCAGGGUGAUGCAUGCUGCUGAUAUAGACGGUGUGGAGUUUGUUUCUUGUCAACUAAAAGAUAUAGCAUACUAGUUGUAUGAUGAAUGGGAACAAUCAAGAGAUAAUGAUGUUGAGCCGUCAGUAUGGGAUAAUUUUUUGGGUGCCUUUCUUGAUCAUUUCUUUCCUCAGGUAAGACUUAGGAGUUUGUCAAUCUGAAGCCAGGUAAGAUGAGUUUGAAAAAGUUUGCCUUGAAAUUUCAGUAGUUAUCUCUCUAUGCUCUAGAGUUAGUGUCUAGUUAGAGCUCUAAGAUGAGAAAGUUGGCUUUUGGAUUUCCAAUGACUUGGUUUAGAAAUGUAAGGCCACAAUAUUAAAUAAUGCCAUAGACAUCUCCAAACUUGUGUUUAUAUACUACAAGUAGUGGAUGAGAAGAAGAGACAGGCAGAGAUGGGAGAACGGUAGAAUAAGAAGUUUAGGUAUAUAGAGCAGGGUACGAAUCAGUAAAAUAUUAAUAAGGAUAGUAGAUAGUGGGCUAAGAAAAAGACUUGGGGCAAUUCUAAUUCAUAUUCUUCGGCUAGUGAUCCUUAUCCUAACCCAUCUUGUAAUCGUCAUUUUUAGACUAGUAGUGGUCCUAAGGUACAGGGUUCCUAGUCUCAUGCUAGUGCAUUUCAUUCAGCCUCACCUUAUCCUCCUUAUAGAUUUUGGAUCAACAUCGCUAUAGUUAUUAUGAUAAGGGGAGAAAUUAGAGCUUUAAUUGUAGUUAUCAUGGCCAUAUGGAGAGAAUGUCCUAUCGCUAAGGUAGCCACCGGGGCUAAUAAGGUUCUGGUUGUCACUUUUUUAGCUUCUUCACCAAAGGGUACUAUUUCAGGUACCGAAACUAGCCAAAAUCAUCUCUAUGCUCUUGCCACUCUUUAAGAAUCGGAAGUGUCUCCUGAUAUUGUUACUGGUAUGCUACAACUCUUCUCUUAUGAUGUGUCUUGUUUGCUUGAUUCGGGGUCUACCCUGAAUUAUGUAAUCCCUGAUAUGGUUGUAAAACUUGGUUUUGGUCCUAAAGAUAUUUCAAACCCCUUCCCUGUUUCUACCCUGAUGGGUGAUUUUACAGUUGCUAGAAAGGUAUAUAGGGGUUGUAUGGUGUCUAUCUCUUACAAAAAGAAAUUAGUGGAUUUGAUAGAGUUGGAUAUGGUGGAUUUUAAUGUUAUCUUGGGGAUGGAUUCACUUUAUUUGUGUUAUGCUUCUUUGGAUUGUAGAAUCUAAAAGGCUAGUUUCCAGUUUCCUAAUGAAUCGAUAAUCGAAUGGGAAGGAAGUUCCUUGUACCCGAAGGGAGGUUUAUUUUAUACCUUAGAGCUUAGAAGUUGAUUUUUAAAGGGUGUUUGUAUCACCUAGUUUGGGUUAAGGGUUCUAAUUUUGAGGGUCUCUCUUUGUAUUUUAUCCCUGUGGUUAAUGAGUUUUCUAAGGUGUUCCUCGAUGAUCUUCCCAAAAUUCCUCCCAAUAGGGAAAUCAAUUUUAGGAUUGAUCUUCUACCAGAUACCUAUCCUAUUUAUAUUCCUUCUCAUAGGAUGGCUCUGGUGGAGUUAAAAGUUCUAAAGGAGAAAUUAAAAGAUCUUUUUAAUAGCGGUUUCAUCCAUCUUAGCAUUUUCUCGUGGAGUGCUCCUGUAUUUAAAGUACGUAAGAAAGAUGGUUCCCUUUAGAUGUUCAUAGACUAUCCUCAGUGACUAAGGUUACAGUAAAGAAUAUGUAUCCUUUUUCUAGGAUUAAUAAUCUAUUUAAUUAGGGGUAUCAUCAGUUGACGAUUAUGGAGAUUGAUAUUCCCAAGAUUGCUUUUAGAAUCCAAUACUGUCAUUAUGAGUUCCUAGCUAUGUCAUUUGGGUUGACUAAUGCUCUGACCAUAUUUACUAAUCAGAUGAACCAGGUGUUUAGACAGUUUUUGGAUUUGAUUGUGAUAUUUUUCAUCGAUUAUAUCUUGGUUUAUUCUAAGAGUAAAAAGGAUAAUGUCAAUCACCUUACAAUUGUGUUGCAGACUCUUAAGGAUCAUAGGUUGUAUGCAAAAUUUUCUAAGUGUGAAUUCUAGUUAAAUGCUGUGACUUUUCUCAAGCAUGUUAUUUCUAGUAAGAAGAUCAUGGUGGAUCCACAGAAGGCUGAGGCAAUUAAGAGGUGGCGUAAACCCACGAAUCCAAACAAUAUUAAGAGCUUGUUAGGAUUGGUUAGGUAUUAUUGAAGGUUUGUGGAGAAUCUCUUCUAUUGUUGCUCCAUUGACUAAGUUGACCUAGAAAAAAAUAAAGUUCUUAAGGUUCGAUGCUUGUGAGGGUAGCUUUAAGAAGUUGAAAGAUAAGUUGGCUUCUACGCCAGUUUUGACCCUACCCGAUUGUACCAAUGGUUUUGUUAUUUAUUGUGAUACAUCUCGUGUAGGAUUGGGUUGUUUGUUGACGGAGCAUGGUAUGGUUAUAGACUAUGCUUCUAGAAUGCUCAAGGUUCAUGAGAGGAAUUAUCCAACUCAUGACUUGGAGUUAGCGGGCUAUGGUUUUUAAUUUGAAGAUUUGGCACUAUUAUUUGUGUGGGGUGCAUGUGGACAUUUAUUUAGAUCAUAAGAUCUUCCAGUAUGUGCUCACUCAGAAGGAGUUGAAUCUCAAGCAAAGGAUGUAACUUGAGCUACUCAAAGAUCAUGACAUCAGUCUACACUAUCAUCCAGGUGAAGCUAAUGUGGUUGUUGAUGCUCUAACAAAGUUAUUUAUGGGGACCCUAUCACAUAUUGAAGAGAAUAAGAGGGAUUGGUGGAAUAUAUUCACUGAUCUGCUAAAUUUGGAGUUUGUUUUUUAGGCUCCAAGGAUAGAGGAGUUAAUGUUCAAGAAGUGGUUAAAUAAUCUCUUGGUGUUGAGGUGAAAGAGAAGUAGGUUUUGGAUCCUAUACUUAUGCAUAUUAAGAAAGAUGCGGGUCAGCAGAAGGUUAUGGCAUUUGAGAUUAGGGGAGAUGGUAUCUUAAGGUAUCAAGGUAGGUUGUGUGUUCCUGAUGUUGAUGGGCUAUGAUAAAUGAUCUUGACUGAGGCUCACGAGUCUAGGUAUAUGGUUCAUCUAGGUUUGACUAAGACCUGAAGGAAAUCUAUUGGUGGAACAAUAUAAAAAGAUAUGUGACAAACUUUAUGGCUAAGUUUAUGGUCUGUCAACAAGUUAAGGUAGAACAUUUAAGGCCUAGUGGUAUGCCUUAAGAGAUAGAUUUACCUAUGUGGAAGUGCGAGAUGAUCAAUAUAGAUUUCAUUAUGUGUAUUUCUCGAUCUCGCGAUUAGUACGAUUUGACUUGGGUCAUCAUAGAUAAGAUAACUAAAUCUGCUCACGUCUUACCUAUGAGGACUACUUACUCUGGAGAGGAUUAUGCGGAGAUUGUACAGUUGCAUUGUGUGUCAAUAUCUAUUAUUUCAUACUGAGGUAUACAAUUCUCUUCUCAAUUUUGGCAAUUGUUUCAGAAAGGUUUGGGUACACAGAUGAACCUUAGCACCGGUUUUCACCCUCAAAUGAAUGGACAAGUGAAACAGACUAUUCAAACCUUGGAGAAUAUUCUAAGGGCCUAUGUGAUGGAUUUUAAAGGUAGUUGGGUUGAUAAUUUUCCUCCCAUUGAGUUCGCGUAUAAUAAUAGUUAUCACUCUUGAAUUGGAAUGGCUCAUUUUGAGGCUCUUUAUGGUAGAAGCUUUAGGUCUCCUAUUGGGUUGUUUGAAGUUGGUAAGACUAGGCUGUUUGGUCUUUACAUGGUUCACCAAGACAUGGAGAAGGUUAAGUUGAUUAGAGAAAGACUUAAGACUUCUCAAAGUCUCCAAAAGUCUUAUGCAAAUGUGAGGUGAAGGGAGUUGGUGUUUGCGGUUGAUGAUUGGGUGUUCUUGAACGUGUCUCCUAUGGAAGGAGUCAUGAGAUUUGGGAAGAGGGGGAAACUCAGUCCCCGUUAUGUUGAUCCAUGUCAGAUUUUGAGGAGAGUUGGAAAUAUUGCUUACGAAUUGGAGUCGCCUGCGAAUUUAUAAGUUCUAUUCAUCCUAUUUUCCAUACAUCAAUGUUGAAGAAGUGUAUGGGUUUGGUCGUUCUUGUGGAGGAUGUUGGUAUCUCGGAUUCCUUGUCUUAUGAGAAAGUUCCAGUUGAUAUUUUAGAUUGGAAAGUUUGUAGGAUGAAGACUAAAAAUGUGGCUUUGGUGAAUGUUCUUUAGAGGAACCAAAAUGUGAUUAAAGCUACUUGGAAGCUGAAGCGGAUAUGAAGUCCAAAUAUUCAUUCCUAUUCCCCGCGUUGGAUAAAAAUGCUUGAGGUAUGAUUCUUAUUUUCUCUCUCAUGGCAUUUUUAAGUUUAUCAUUUGGGUAUGUGUGCAUCUUUUCUUAUUAUCGUGCUAAUAGGUGUGUUAACUCCUCAUUCAGGGACGAAAGAUCCUGGGGGAGGGGGUAAUGCAAUACCCCAAGUUUAUGGCCUAUAAAAAGUUACUUGAUUUUACUAUCACUAGCCAAGUAACGACUCAGGUGAUGAGUCAUACCCACUCGUCACGAGUCAUAGGGCCUCUUUCAUUGUCUGACUAGUGAGGUUGCCUUAGGAUUCUAUCUUGAUCACGACUAAGACCCCAUGAGUCGUAGGGUAAGGUCACUAGUCAUAGUGAGGCACUCGUGACCAUAACAGUGUGAUGCCCAAAAUUUUCUACUUAAGUUAUGAGUCAAGGUGACGACUCGUGAUCAGUCACUAUGAGUCGUUACUUGACCCAUAGCGACUGAGAGAAAUUUUUCUACAUAUUUUUCAUUAAGUUUUAUUGGGUCUUUCACUUCAUUACCCUUCACCCAUGACUUUAAAACACCUAAGGGGUCCCUUUUUCAUCAUUUAACAAAUCAAAACACAUAUUCUCCCCUCUCAAACUUACAAGUAAGAGAAAAGCUAAGGUUUCAAGGGCUUGAUUGUAUAAUCUUUAAAUUAUGGUUUCUCUUCCAAAUUCCUUAGUGUUUCAGGCAUGUACCUCUUUCCUAAAUAGAUUUAUAUAAAAGAAUAUAUUUAAUUAUUAUCCAUAUGGUGUAAUUGUUGGGUUUUGAAUAUGGGUUGUGAAAAUUUGGAAUGGUUGUUACAUGAUUUAAUUUCUCAUGGUUUCGAAUUGGUUAUUAAUACUUUAUUUUAUGGUUUUGAACUGAAUAAAUGCAUAGGUAUGGGAAUUGGAAUGGGGAACAUAGGUUUUCCCAAAUUUUAUUGUCUAAUGAUUUGAAACUAGAUUUAACCUUACCCAACUUGUUUAAUUGGUUUCCAAAACAUGGAUAUAUGAACAAUUUCGCUUACUCUUGGAACUUUGCAUUGCAUAAGAGGUUAAUAGAACAUAAAAUGAUUUUGAAAGUCCUUGGUUUAAACUGGAACUUGGGAGUCAAUUUGGCUAAAUGGUUUUGAAACCACAUAAUUGGAAUUAGCUUGCAAGCUCUUUAAUUUGGUAUGACUAUACCAACGAUAAAUGCCCAAUUAAAAGAAUCCUUGGUUAACAGAUGUGAAUUUGUUUAAAUGAUUUUAAUUUAGCUUAAAGGGAGUUGUUGUGUAGUUCGUCGUGGAAGGUGGAAGUUUUGAGGGGACCGAUACUGGAAAUCACGUUUACCGAGAGGGGGUGGGGGGGUCAUGGUGACCAUGUGCGUAGUUCACACUUAAUAUAUAUAUAUAUAUAUAUAUUGGAAAAACUGUGGUUGUGGAUUCCCUGGACCUUCCACAAAUUUCUCCAAUUUGUGUGGCUAACACACACUGGGGCCCUUUCAGUAGGGGAGAUGAAUCUAUAUAGCUCAUGGGUGCCCUUAGGAUAGACAGAGCUACACAAUCCAGGUAAAUAGUUUUAAAUCCCAUGCUUAAACCUUGUACCCUAUUCUGACAUUAUAUAUAUAUGUAUGUGAACGUGUACUUGGAGUCUUUGAUUAUUUUGAAAUGGCAUUGUUUUAUACCUUACCCCGAGUUACAUGAUAGGGCUCAUCCUACUAACCAUCAUCGAACACUGCUUCAUUUCAUGAUGCAGGGUCCUAGGGGUUCUUCUAUUGCUUUUUGCAGUGUUAGGUCAUUUGGUGUGUCGGUCAGUCCGCUUAAAGUGGUAAGCCUCCAUCUUUUGGAAGGCCUGUUACUUCUUGGUUUCAUUAUAUUUCCUUAGAUUGUUACUUUUGGAUUCCUUUUUGUCUAUAUUUUAGGGAAUGUCCUGACCUAGUAUGAUAUUCGGUUUUGUUAGAGGCCUUGUGGACAAAUUUUGGGUUGGUCACUGUUUUGGACUCUUAGUUCCAAAAUAACUGUCUUAUCUUUAUACUUUGGUUUUAUUCCAAUGUUUAUCUAUAUUUUGCUCGGAUAUUAGGC